GACGAACGCUGGCGGCGUGCUUAACACAUGCAAGUCGAACGGUAAAGCCCAGCUUUUUGGGUGGGUUAGUGGGGAACGGGUGAGUAACACGUGUGUAUCACCUCCCUAUCACUGGGGUAAACCUGCGGAAAACUGUCGAUUAUCCCAGAGGGGCGCUCCCGCUGCGGGGGGGGUUGUGGAAAUUUUUGGGGUUUGGGUGGACUCGCGGCCUAUCAGCUUGUUGGUGGGGUAUUGGCUCACCAAGGCGAUGACGGGUAGCCGGCCUGAGAGGGUGACCGGCCACACUGGGACUGAGACACGGCCCAGACUCCUACGGGAGGCAGCAGUGGGGAAUAUUGCACAAUGGGCGGAAGCCUGAUGCAGCAACGCCGCGUGAGGGAUGACGGCCUUCGGGUUGUAAACCUCUUUCAGUAGUGAAGAAGCGAAAGUGACGGUAACUGGUAAAGAAGCACCGGCUAACUACGUG
rnacentral:rRNA from 1 species